rnacentral:tRNA from 1 species
GCCUGAGUGGUGGAACUGGCAUACACGCAGCACUCAAAAUGCUGUGCCGCGAGGCUUGUGGGUUCGAAUCCCACCUCAGGUACUA